rnacentral:tRNA from 1 species
GUGGAUGUAGCUCAGUUGGCAGAGCGCUGGAUUGUGGUUCCAGUUGUCGUGGGUUCGACCCCCAUCAUCCACCCCA